AUUGAACGCUGGCGGCAUGCCUUACACAUGCAAGUUGAACGGCAGCAUAGGAGCUUGCUCCUGAUGGCGAGUGGCGAACGGGUGAGUAAUAUAUCGGAACGUGCCCUAGAGUGGGGGAUAACUAGUCGAAAGACUAGCUAAUACCGCAUACGAUCUACGGAUGAAAGUGGGGGAUCGCAAGACCUCAUGCUCCUGGAGCGGCCGAUAUCUGAUUAGCUAGUUGGUGGGGUAAAAGCCUACCAAGGCAACGAUCAGUAGCUGGUCUGAGAGGACGACCAGCCACACUGGGACUGAGACACGGCCCAGACUCCUACGGGAGGCAGCAGUGGGGAAUUUUGGACAAUGGGGGCAACCCUGAUCCAGCAAUGCCGCGUGAGUGAAGAAGGCCUUCGGGUUGUAAAGCUCUUUUGUCAGGGAAGAAACGGUAGUAGCGAAUAACUAUUACUAAUGACGGUACCUGAAGAAUAAGCACCGGCUAACUACGUGCCAGCCGCCGCAGUAAUAC
rnacentral:rRNA from 1 species